rnacentral:rRNA from 1 species
CCCUUAGAUGUUCUGGGCCGCACGCGCGCUACACUGAUGCAUUCAACAAGCCUAGCCUUGACCGAGAGGUCCGGGUAAUCUUUGAAACUGCAUCGUGAUGGGGCUAGAUUAUUGCAAUUAUUAAUCUUCAACGAGGAAUGCCUAGUAAGCGUGAUUCAUCAAAUCGCGUUGAAUACGUCCCUGCCCUUUGUACACACCGCCCGUCGCUCCUACCGAUUGAAUGUGUUGGUGAGGAGCUCGGAUUGGCAGCAGUUGGUGGUUCGCCACCGGCUAUUGCUGAGAAGUCCUCCAAACCGCCCCAUUUAGAGGAAGGAGAAGUCGUAACA